CGCAGAAUAAAACACGAGGAACCAGAAACCUGCAUAUCUCACGAGGAACAAAGAGAACCCACGAGUAUCACUUCAAGAAACGUUCAACAUUCUCAGUAGAUUCUCCCUUGUUUCACAUUACACUAUCAACUGGAACAAGUCAAUUGUACUACCACUUUCAGAUGAUGCAUGGGAUUCUGGAGCUCAGGACACAUCCCUCCACCUUCACACAGGUAACAUCAAGUACCUAGGGAUUCAGAUUUCCCCCAGGCUGUCAGAGCUUUUCCCCCUCAACUAUACUCCACUCCUAAAGAAAAUUGAAGAUGAAUAUAAACGCUGGUCUAAACACCCACUCACACUCAUCGGAAGAAUAGCUGCUGUCAAAAUGAAAACCCUACCCCAAAUAAACUAUUUUUUUUUUCUAUGAUCCCCAUCACUCCUACAGAUAAAUGGUUCAAAACUCUUAAUUCAUUAACAACACAAUUUUAUUGGAAAAACAAAAAACCCAGGAUAUCACACUCAACACUACAAAAUAAAAAAUCACAUGGGGGGCUUGAGGCACCAAACUUCCAUCACUACUUUCUGGCAAAUCAAUUAAAGUACAUAGUUAAAUGGAUCAAUAUACACAAGCAUAAUUACCCUUGGCUAGAACUGGAACAAAACCAAUGCACAAAUAUCUCAGUUGCAGACCUC